CCCUUAGAUGUUCUGGGCCGCACGCGUGCUACACUGAGUGGAUCAGCGGGUCAGGUUGCGCGAAAGUGUUUCCUAAUCUUGAAAUCCGCUCGUGAUGGGGAUUGACGGUUGCAAUUUUCCGUCAUGAACGAGGAAUACCUUGUAAGCGCGGGUCAUCAUCCCGCGCUGAAUACGUCCCUGCCCUUUGUACACACCGCCCGUCGCUGCCAUCGGUGGACGGCCGAGCCAGGGCUUUGGACUGCGAGCGCCUGCCCUUCGUCUUCGGACGGGGAGUCGUUGCCCGCGGAAAAUCGUCCGAACUCGGUCGCCCCGAGAUAGCAAAAGUCGUAACA
rnacentral:rRNA from 1 species